GGAACAUGGGUGACAUUCGGAGGUCAAAUUUCAGAUGAGGUUGCUGAACGGCUAAUGACUAUUGCCUAUGAAAGCGGAGUUAAUCUCUUCGACACUGCCGAGGUCUAUGCUGCUGGGAAGGCUGAGGUGAUUCUGGGGAGCAUCAUCAAGAAGAAAGGCUGGAGGAGGUCCAGCUUGGUCAUCACAACCAAACUCUACUGGGGUGGAAAAGCUGAAACAGAAAGAGGAUUGUCAAGAAAGCAUAUCAUUGAAGG